GGAGUUAGCCGGUGCUUCUUCUGCGAGUAACGUCACAGAUGUAAGGUAUUAACUUACACCCUUUCCUCCUCGCUGAAAGUGCUUUACAACCCGAAGGCCUUCUUCACACACGCGGCAUGGCUGCAUCAGGGUUUCCCACAUUGUGCAAUAUUCCCCACUGCUGCCUCCCGUAGGAGUCUGGGCCGUGUCUCAGUCCCAGUGUGGCUGAUCAUCCUCUCAGACCAGCUAGGGAUCGUCGCCUAGGUGAGCCUUUACCUCACCUACUAGCUAAUCCCACCUGGGCUUAUCCAUCAGCGCAAGGCCCGAAGGUCCCCUGCUUUCCCCCGUAGGGCGUAUGCGGUAUUAGCAGUCGUUUCCAACUGUUAUCCCCCACAAAUGGGCAAAUUCCCAGGCAUUACUCACCCGUCCGCCGCUCGUCAUCUUCAAAAGCAAGCUUUUGAAAAUGUUACCGAUCGACUUGCAUGUGUUAGGCCUGCCGCCAGCGUUCAAUCUGAGCCAGAAUCAAAACUCUGA
rnacentral:rRNA from 1 species